rnacentral:rRNA from 1 species
GGGUUGUGAGGUUAAGCGACUAAGCGUACACGGUGGAUGCCCUGGCAGUCAGAGGCGAUGAAGGGCGUGCUAAUCUGCGAUAAGCGCCGGUAAGGUGAUAUGAACCGUUAUAACCGGCGAUACCCGAAUGGGGAAACCCAGUGUGACUCGUCACACUAUCAUUAACUGAAUCCAUAGGUUAAUGAGGCGAACCGGGGGAACUGAAACAUCUAAGUACCCCGAGGAAAAGAAAUCAACCGAGAUUCCCCCAGUAGCGGCGAGCGAACGGGGAGGAGCCCAGAGCCUGAAUCAGCAUGUGUGUUAGUGGAAGCGUCUGGAAAGGCGCGCGAUACAGGGUGACAGCCCCGUACACAAAAGCGCAUGUGCUGUGAGCUCGAUGAGUAGGGCGGGACACGUGGUAUCCUGUCUGAAUAUGGGGGGACCAUCCUCCAAGGCUAAAUACUCCUGACUGACCGAUAGUGAACCAGUACCGUGAGGGAAAGGCGAAAAGAACCCCGGCGAGGGGAGUGAAAAAGAACCUGAAACCGUGUACGUACAAGCAGUGGGAGCACAGGUUUACCUGUGUGACUGCGUACCUUUUGUAUAAUGGGUCAGCGACUUAUAUUCUGUAGCAAGGUUAACCGAAUAGGGGAGCCGGAGGGAAACCGAGUCUUAAUUGGGCGUUAAGUUGCAGGGUAUAGACCCGAAACCCGGUGAUCUAGCCAUGGGCAGGUUGAAGGUUGGGUAACACUAACUGGAGGACCGAACCGACUAAUGUUGAAAAAUUAGCGGAUGACCUGUGGCUGGGGGUGAAAGGCCAAUCAAACCGGGAGAUAGCUGGUUCUCCCCGAAAGCUAUUUAGGUAGCGCCUCGUGAAUUCAUCUCCGGGGGUAGAGCACUGUUUCGGCUAGGGGGCCAUCCCGGCUUACCAACCCGAUGCAAACUGCGAAUACCGGAGAAUGUUAUCACGGGAGACACACGGCGGGUGCUAACGUCCGUCGUGAAGAGGGAAACAACCCAGACCGCCAGCUAAGGUCCCAAAGUCAUGGUUAAGUGGGAAACGAUGUGGGAAGGCCCAGACAGCCAGGAUGUUGGCUUAGAAGCAGCCAUCAUUUAAAGAAAGCGUAAUAGCUCACUGGUCGAGUCGGCCUGCGCGGAAGAUGUAACGGGGCUAAACCAUGCACCGAAGCUGCGGCAGCGACACUGUGUGUUGUUGGGUAGGGGAGCGUUCUGUAAGCCUGCGAAGGUGGCCUGUGAGGGUUGCUGGAGGUAUCAGAAGUGCGAAUGCUGACAUAAGUAACGAUAAAGCGGGUGAAAAGCCCGCUCGCCGGAAGACCAAGGGUUCCUGUCCAACGUUAAUCGGGGCAGGGUGAGUCGACCCCUAAGGCGAGGCCGAAAGGCGUAGUCGAUGGGAAACGGGUUAAUAUUCCCGUACUUGGUGUUACUGCGAAGGGGGGACGGAGAAGGCUAUGUUGGCCGGGCGACGGUUGUCCCGGUUUAAGCGUGUAGGUGUGUGUUCCAGGUAAAUCCGGUUCACUUUAACACUGAGGCGUGACGACGAGGCACUACGGUGCUGAAGCAACAAAUGCCCUGCUUCCAGGAAAAGCCUCUAAGCAUCAGGUAACAUCAAAUCGUACCCCAAACCGACACAGGUGGUCAGGUAGAGAAUACCAAGGCGCUUGAGAGAACUCGGGUGAAGGAACUAGGCAAAAUGGUGCCGUAACUUCGGGAGAAGGCACGCUGACACGUAGGUGAAGUGAUUUACUCAUGGAGCUGAAGUCAGUCGAAGAUACCAGCUGGCUGCAACUGUUUAUUAAAAACACAGCACUGUGCAAACACGAAAGUGGACGUAUACGGUGUGACGCCUGCCCGGUGCCGGAAGGUUAAUUGAUGGGGUCAGCGCAAGCGAAGCUCCUGAUCGAAGCCCCGGUAAACGGCGGCCGUAACUAUAACGGUCCUAAGGUAGCGAAAUUCCUUGUCGGGUAAGUUCCGACCUGCACGAAUGGCGUAAUGAUGGCCAGGCUGUCUCCACCCGAGACUCAGUGAAAUUGAACUCGCUGUGAAGAUGCAGUGUACCCGCGGCAAGACGGAAAGACCCCGUGAACCUUUACUAUAGCUUGACACUGAACAUUGAGCCUUGAUGUGUAGGAUAGGUGGGAGGCUUUGAAGUGUGGACGCCAGUCUGCAUGGAGCCGACCUUGAAAUACCACCCUUUAAUGUUUGAUGUUCUAACGUGGACCCGUUACCCGGGUUGCGGACAGUGUCUGGUGGGUAGUUUGACUGGGGCGGUCUCCUCCUAAAGAGUAACGGAGGAGCACGAAGGUUGGCUAAUCCUGGUCGGACAUCAGGAGGUUAGUGCAAUGGCAUAAGCCAGCUUGACUGCGAGCCGUGACGGCGCGAGCAGGUGCGAAAGCAGGUCAUAGUGAUCCGGUGGUUCUGAAUGGAAGGGCCAUCGCUCAACGGAUAAAAGGUACUCCGGGGAUAACAGGCUGAUACCGCCCAAGAGUUCAUAUCGACGGCGGUGUUUGGCACCUCGAUGUCGGCUCAUCACAUCCUGGGGCUGAAGUAGGUCCCAAGGGUAUGGCUGUUCGCCAUUUAAAGUGGUACGCGAGCUGGGUUUAGAACGUCGUGAGACAGUUCGGUCCCUAUCUGCCGUGGGCGCUGGAGAACUGAGGGGGGCUGCUCCUAGUACGAGAGGACCGGAGUGGACGCAUCACUGGUGUUCGGGUUGUCAUGCCAAUGGCACUGCCCGGUAGCUAAAUGCGGAAGAGAUAAGUGCUGAAAGCAUCUAAGCACGAAACUUGCCCCGAGAUGAGUUCUCCCUGAGACUUUAGAGUCUCCUGAAGGAACGUUGAAGACGACGACGUUGAUAGGCCGGGUGUGUAAGCGCAGCGAUGCGUUGAGCUAACCGGUACUAAUGAACCGUGAGGCUUAACCUUACAACGCCGAAG